rnacentral:ncRNA from 1 species
GGGACUUUGGAGAAGCUGCGGUUUGCCCGCAGUGCCGAAGGUGAAAGCGCAAGGCGUGAAUCUCUCAGGCAAAAGGACAAAG